ACAAGCGGAGGAACAUGUGGUUAAUUCGAUGAUACGCGAGGAACCUUACCUGGGCUUAAAUGUAGAGUGCAUUCCGCCGAAAGGUGGAUUUCCUUCGGGACUCUUUACAAGGUGCUGCAUGGUUGUCGUCAGCUCGUGCCGUGAGGUGUCGGGUUAAGUCCCAUAACGAGCGCAACCCUUAUCGUUAGUUGCCAGCGGGUCAUGCCGGGAACUCUAACGAAACUGCCGGUGUAAACCGUGAGGAAGGUGGGAUGACGUCAAAUCAGCACGGCCCUUAUGUCCAGGGCUACACACGUGUUACAAUGGCCGGUACAGAGGGCAGCUACCUGGAGACAGGAUGCGAAUCUCGAAAGCCGGUCUCAGUUCGGAUCGGAGUCUGCAACUCGACUCCGUGAAGCUGGAUUCGCUAGUAAUCGCGCAUCAGCCAUGGCGCGGUGAAUACGUUCCCGGGCCUU
rnacentral:rRNA from 1 species